GGCCGUGCCACCGCCCGGCGCUGGGCUCUGCGCUAACGAGCGUGGCCCCGCUGCGCCCCAGGCCCGCCCGCAGCCCCGCGGCCCUGCCCUGCGGGCAGGAGCAUGGAGCGGCGCGGAGGUCCGCAGCAGGAUGCUGGAGAUGGCGUUUCUGAACUGAGGGAGUGGAGACCAGUGGUUUACAGAAAGCGUACGGACACUCUGUGGUUGCUCCUCUUCUUUCUUUACUGGGCUGGUUUGAUGUUUAUAACUGGUUAUGCUGUGAUGGCUGGUGCUGCAGAAAGACUUGUGCUUGGAUAUGACAGUUUUGGGAACAUAUGUGGUAGGAAGAACACUCCUGUAAAAGGGGCACCCCUUUCUGGACGGGACAUGACUAAUAAAAAGUAUGUGUUCUUUCUGAAUUCAUGCAGCCUGGAAAUGCAAAACCUCAAAAUCAGUUCACUUUCCUUGUGCGUGUCCAGUUGUCCACAAGAGCAACUCAACUCUUUGGAAGACCUCCAGAGUUUUGCAAGGAAUAAUGGUUCUUGUCUUUGCAUUUACAACGUGAACAUUUCCAGUUACACACUAAAUCCAAAGGCAGCUGAGCUGUGUCCCACACUGCCAGUUCCACCAAGUAAAUCUUUUCCAUUAUUUAAUCGCUGUGUUCCACAAAAUCCGGAAUGCUAUUCCAAAUAUGCAUCUGUCUUAAUAAGCAUGGUUAAUGAAAUGGAUGUUUGUCACCGAAUUCUGAGUGGAAUCUUCGCAGGAAGAGAUACUGUGAUAGGACUGAGUGUCUUUGCACUAGCCUUCUCUUUAAUCCUAGUUUUAGCCUUCAGAUUCAUUCGGACAGUUCUGAUUCAUACUUUGAUUGCACUGGUCAUAUUUGGGAUGUUCUUUGUCUCAGGUGUUCUCUGGUGGCUCUAUUAUGACUACAGGAAUGAUCCCAGCACUGAACUGGAAACAGAAAAGGCAAAUGUAAAGUUUCUACUUGGAUAUGCUAUCUUCUCAACAAUAGUUACUGUUGUUUUGCUUUCUCUUAUACUUGUACUAAGAAAGAGGCUUCAGUUCACUGUGCAACUCUUUCGAAUUGUUGGUAAAAUCAUUGGCAGAAUUCCUUUCCUGCUGUUCCAACCAUUCUGGACCUUUCUGAUUCUCGUUGUGUUCUGGGUAUUUUGGGUUGCUGUACUACUCAGCCUAGGAACUGCAGGUACUGCACAGACUACUUCAGGAGGACAAGUGGAAUACAGAGCUCUGCCUGGAAUUUACUACAUGGCAUGGUAUCUUUUCAUUGGCCUGAUCUGGACUAGUGAAUUCAUUCUUGCUUGUCAGCAAAUGACGAUUGCUGGGGCAGUGGUUACUUGUUACUUAAACAGGAACAAGAAUAACCCACCACCUCACCCAGUCCUGUCUUCCAUAUCAGUUCUUUUCUGCUAUCACCUAGGAACUGCUGUAAAAGGCUCAUUUCUUAUCACAAUACUGAGAAUACCAAGGAUUCUUCUCUUGUACCUUUAUAGUAUCCUAAAACAAAAGGAGAGUGUGUGUGCCAAGUGCCUGUUCAAGUGCUGUUUCUUCUGCUUUUGGUGUCAGGAAAGUUGCUUAAGAUACUUUAACCAGCAUGCAUACACAACUACAGCUAUAAAUGGGACCAAUUUUUGUAUAUCAGCAAAGGAUGCCGUCUCUGUUUUGGCAAAGAAUUCUACUAAACUUGCAUCCAUUAGCUGUUUUGGAGAUUUUAUCCUAUUUCUAGGAAAGGUGUUUGUUGUAUGUUUUACUGUUUUCGGAGGAUUGAUGGCAUUUAACUACCAUCGGGAGUUGCAAGCAUGGGUGGUUCCUCUGUUGCUGGUUGGAUUUUUUGCCUGCCUGAUCUCUCACAGCUUUCUGUCUGUGUUUGAAGUGACAGCAGAUGCCAUCUUCCUUUGCUUUGCUAUUGACAUGGAAACAAAUGAUGGAUCUGCAGAGAGGCCAUACUUUGUGGAUCAGGAACUGCUGGUAAACCGCUGUGAUAACAGGAAAAACAUUUAAGCCAUUCUAAGCUUUUGGGGACUUUUUCUUUCCCCACAACCUAGUAGUUUGAACCCACAACCCAUGCUAUUUCCUUUCCAACACCUUAGAACAGGAUGGACACAGGGAUACAGAUCACAAGUGAAUUUACAAAGUGAAGUAAAUAGCUUCCUCUGACUCCUGUGUGCUAGCUCUGAUCUGCUGCCUUCUCUCAGAUCAUACCCUACCUUUGUGAGUCGGAGUAACAAGUUAACAGAUAAGCAAAAACACAGAAGACCUUUCCAGGAUAAUGAAGAUGGGACAGAGCUCCAACCUAUGACUUGAAUGUGAAGAGCACCCCAAGAAGUACAGCAGCAGAGCAGCAACAGCAAAAACAAUCAGAGCAAAAAAGAUUCCCAAUAGCCCAGGACAACAUAUUAGUUCUCUAAAUCUCUGUUGUACCUUCUUUACUGGUAAAGUGACACACAGUCU